rnacentral:snRNA from 1 species
UUUACUUCGACAGAAGAUAUACUAAAAUUGGAAUGUUACAGAGAUUAGCACCGCCCUGCACAAGGGUGACAUGAAAACUCAUGAAGCGUUCCAUAUUUAA